GUGUGUAUGUACAUCUAUGUGUAUGUGUAUCUGUAUGAAUGCAUACCUGUGUAUGUGUACUUGUGUGACAAAGUGUGUGUAUUUCUGAGCAUAUGUGUGUGUGUGUGUGUCAGUAUGUGUAAGUGUGUAUCUAUGUGUGUGGCAAUGCAUUCAUCCCAGCAUUCUAAUGCCAACACUGCACACACAUACGCUAACCCUGCACACAAAUAC